rnacentral:rRNA from 1 species
GAUGAACGCUGGCGGCGUGCCUAAUACAUGCAAGUCGAGCGAACAGACGAGGAGCUUGCUCCUCUGACGUUAGCGGCGGACGGGUGAGUAACACGUGGAUAACCUACCUAUAAGACUGGGAUAACUUCGGGAAACCGGAGCUAAUACCGGAUAAUAUAUUGAACCGCAUGGUUCAAUAGUGAAAGACGGUUUUGCUGUCACUUAUAGAUGGAUCCGCGCCGCAUUAGCUAGUUGGUAAGGUAACGGCUUACCAAGGCAACGAUGCGUAGCCGACCUGAGAGGGUGAUCGGCCACACUGGAACUGAGACACAGUCCAGACUCCUACGGGAGGCAGCAGUAGGGAAUCUUCCGCAAUGGGCGAAAGCUUGACGGAGCAACGCCGCGUGAGUGAUGAAGGUCUUCGGAUCGUAAAACUCUGUUAUUAGGGAAGAACAAAUGUGUAAGUAACUAUGCACGUCUUGACGGUACCUAAUCAGAAAGCCACGGCUAACUACGU